UCAGCUAGACCUCCAUGAACUGAAAAUGAAAGAACCAAAAUAGAUAUCAACAGAUAAUUAAAGGAACGUUUGGAAGUUUUUUACCUCAUGCAAACCUCAAACUCUGAACCACUACUGCCUAAAGGAAAUAAAUACUGUGUUAUGACUUUGAAAAAGUGAAGUGGCCAUGUUAGGAGGCCCAGAUGGUAAGGAGCUGAGGGAGGCCUCCAGGAAAUGGCCAGCAAGAAGCCGGCUCCCUCAGCCUUGUAGCUACAAGAAAAUGAAUUCUGCCAGCAAUCUGAGUGAACUUGGAAGCUGAUUCUUCCUCUGUCAAGCCUCCAGAUGAGAAUCUCAGUCACAGCCAACACCUUGACUGCAGUCCUUAGCAGAGGACUCUGCCAAGCUGUGCCAGGACUCCUGACCUGCAGAAAUUGUGAGUUAGUCAUGCUGCUGAAACCCCGAAUGCUCACCCAGAAGAGUUCCUUUGCAGUGAAAGCCUAAGUGAGAUUGCACCUUCAACUGGCAUCACUCCACCUUACAGGAUCCUGAAAGCUUUCAAAUCCACCUCAAGCCCAGGCAGUGUCAAAGAAGGAGAGGAAUUGAAGAAGCAAAAAUAAAUAUUAAAGUACA
ensembl:lncRNA TEX41 testis expressed 41